UCAGGGUGUGGCUGAGUUAGUCAAGCAUCUCACUUACACCGAGAAGACACCCA
rnacentral:tRNA from 1 species